CCUACGGGAGGCAGCAGUGGGGGAUAUUGCACAAUGGGGGAAACCCUGAUGCAGCGACGCCGCGUGAGUGAAGAAGGAUUUCGGGAUGUAAAGCUCGAUCAGCAGGGAAGAAAAUGACAGUACCUGACCAAGAAGCCCCGGCUAACGACGAGCCAGCAGCCGCGGGAAGACGCAGGGGGCAAGCGUUAUCCGGAUUUACUGGGUGUAAAGGGAGCGUAGACGGUUAUGUAAGUCUGGAGUGAAAGCCCGGGGCCCAACCCCGGGACUGCUUUUGAAACUGUGUAACUGGAGUGCAGGAGGGGCAGGCGGAAUUCCUGGUGUAGCGGUGAAAUGCGUAGAUAUCAGGCGGAACACCGGCGGCGAAGGCGGCCUGCUGGACUGAAACUGACGUUGAGGCUCGAAAGCGUGGGGAGCAAACAGGAUUAGAUACCCCGGUAGUC
rnacentral:rRNA from 1 species